UGUCCAGACUCCUACGGGAGGCAGCAGUCGGGAAUAUUGCGCAAUGGAGGAAACUCUGACGCAGUGACGCCGCGUAUAGGAAGAAGGUUUUCGGAUUGUAAACUAUUGUCGUUAGGGAAGAUAAUGACGGUACCUGACUAAGAAGCCCCGGCUAACUACGUGCCAGCAGCCGCGGUAAUACGUAGGGAGCAAGCGUUAUCCGGAUUUACUGGGUGUAAAGGGUGCGCAGGUGGCAGGGCAAGUCAGAUGUGAAAGCCCGGGGCUCAACCCCGGUAUUGCAUUUGAAACUGUCCGGCUAGAGUGCAGGAGAGGUAAGCGGAAUUCCUAGUGUAGCGGUGAAAUGCGUAGAUAUUAGGAGGAACAUCGGUGGCGAAGGCGGCUUACUGGGCUUUUACUGACGCUGAGGCUCGAAAGCGUGGGGAGCAAACAGGAUUAGAUACCCUGGUA
rnacentral:rRNA from 1 species